rnacentral:sRNA from 1 species
GCCAGGUGCGGUGGCGCACGCCUGUAGUCCCAUUGGCUUGGGAGGCUGAGGCAGGGGGAUUGCGAGUUCAAAGUCAGCCUCAGAAAAAAAAGUGAGAUGCUAAGCAACUCAGUGAGACCAUGACUCUA